CGGUUUCUUAAGUCUGAUGUGAAAGCCCCCGGCUCAACCGGGGAGGGUCAUUGGAAACUGGGGAACUUGAGUGCAGAAGAGGAGAGUGGAAUUCCACGUGUAGCGGUGAAAUGCGAUAGAGAUGUGGAGGAACACCAGUGGCGAAGGCGACUCUCUGGUCUGUAACUGACGCUGAGGAGCGAAAGCGUGGGGAGCGAACAGGAUUAGAUACCCUGGUAGUCCACGCCGUAAACGAUGAGUGCUAAGUGUUAGGGGGUUUCCGCCCCUUAGUGCUGCAGCUAACGCAUUAAGCACUCCGCCUGGGGAGUACGGUCGCAAGACUGAAACUCAAAGGAAUUGACGGGGGCCCGCACAAGCGGUGGAGCAUGUGGUUUAAUUCGAAGCAACGCGAAGAACCUUACCAGGUCUUGACAUCCUCUGACAAUCCUAGAGAUAGGACGUCCCCUUCGGGGGCAGAGUGACAGGUGGUGCAUGGUUGUCGUCAGCUCGUGUCGUGAGAUGUUGGGUUAAGUCCCGCAACGAGCGCAACCCUUGAUCUUAGUUGCCAGCAUUCAGUUGGGCACUCUAAGGUGACUGCCGGUGACAAACCGGAGGAAGGUGGGGAUGACGUCAAAUCAUCAUGCCCCUUAUGACCUGGGCUACACACGUGCUACAAUGGACAGAACAAAGGGCAGCGAAACCGCGAGGUUAAGCCAAUCCCACAAAUCUGUUCUCAGUUCGGAUCGCAGUCUGCAACUCGACUGCGUGAAGCUGGAAUCGCUA
rnacentral:rRNA from 1 species